GUGCAAACUUGCUCAUAUACUCAAAUGGAGGGCUCAACAAACGCUCUAGAAUGCAUCAAAUACUAAUGUAUCCAACUUUAUUUCGGUGAAACUCUCCGGCAAUCACAAUUACCUUCUUUGGAAAGCACAAAUGCUUUGCAUGUUGGAUAGUAACGAUAUGUGUGGUAUCGUGGAUGCCACAUAUGUUGUGCCAAGAGAUUAUGGUAGUGAGACCAUGAGAAAAAUAUGACAGUCUCGUCAAAGGAUGGAUAUUUGGUUCCGUUGGUGAAGAUGUACUUGUAGAUGUCUUCAAUCUCAGUUCGGCGAAAGAUGUUUGGGAAAAACUAAAAGCUAUCUACGAGCCUACUAUGUGUUGGAAAGAAGGAUAUACCCCCGCGAUCAAGGUAUGCACAAAGAUUCAUCGUAGUAGGUGA
rnacentral:lncRNA from 1 species